rnacentral:rRNA from 1 species
UACGUAGGUGGCAAGCGUUAUCCGGAUUUAUUGGGCGUAAAGGGAACGCAGGCGGUCUUUUAAGUCUGAUGUGAAAGCCUUCGGCUUAACCGGAGUAGUGCAUUGGAAACUGGGAGACUUGAGUGCAGAAGAGGAGAGUGGAACUCCAUGUGUAGCGGUGAAAUGCGUAGAUAUACGGAGGAACACCAGUGGCGAAGGCGGCCUGCUGGACAAUAACUGACGCUGAGGCGCGAAAGCGUGGGGAGCAAACAGG